GAUGAACGCUGGCGGCGUGCCUAAUACAUGCAAGUCGAGCGAACGGACGAGAAGCUUGCUUUUCUGAUGUUAGCGGCGGACGGGUGAGUAACACGUGGAUAACCUACCUAUAAGACUGGGAUAACUUCGGGAAACCGGAGCUAAUACCGGAUAAUAUUUUGAACCGCAUGGUUCAAAAGUGAAAGACGGUCUUGCUGUCACUUAUAGAUGGAUCCGCGCUGCAUUAGCUAGUUGGUAAGGUAACGGCUUACCAAGGCAACGAUGCAUAGCCGACCUGAGAGGGUGAUCGGCCAGACUGGAACUGAGACACGGUCAAGACUCCUACGGGAGGCAGCAGUAGGGAAUCUUCCGCAAUGGGGGAAAGCCUAACGGAGCAACGCCGCGUGAGUGAUGAAGGUCUUCGGAUCGUAAAACUCUGUUAUUAGGGAAGAACAUAUGUGUAAGUAACUGUGAACAUCUUGACGGUACCUAAUCAGAAAGCCACGGCUAACUACGUG
rnacentral:rRNA from 1 species